CGUAGAGAGUAAAAUUGCCUUUUUCAUGUUUGCUGCUUCUCUCUUCUUGUUGUCUUUGAGAGCCCUUGUUAAGCCACGAUGUCUUAAUGUUGGGAAAGAAAUUGGCCCAGGAAAUGGAAGGUCUUCACAGCAGAGGCCAGGGCCCCCAUGUGCAAGGACAGACAGUCAGUUAUUUGGCCUCUUCCCAGAGCAGGACAAUUGCAGUAACUAACCACAUGGAGCACUCAGAAUCAGAAGAUAUGUUCCAGGCUGGAGCCCUGCCACAGCUGCUGGAAUUACAUAUUUGGAAAGUGCAGCAGAAAAAUUGACUUUGAAUGUUUGAGAGGGAAGCAGAUGUAUCUCCUUCAUUAAGGAAAGAGAUGAUUCAAAGGUGGGUAAUACAUUUAAAUAACAAUUGAAAGGAAGCACUGCCAAAACAGCGGGAGACCUUUGGGUAAAAUUAUACGUGGAAAAAUGUUUCCUGCCUGAAAAUGCAGAUCUGCGUGAGUGGUCAGGGCUGGGUGCUGCAGGGAACCCAAGGGCACCAGACAGCUUAACCCCCAGAAAUAACUUCUGCAUAUAGAUUUUUCAGUUCUAUAUUGUUCCAUUGAAGUUAAUGAUAAUCGAGAAUUUCUUUUUUCUGCUUAAUGUACA
rnacentral:lncRNA from 1 species